rnacentral:rRNA from 1 species
UACGUAGGGGCCGAGCGUUGUCCGGAGUUAUUGGGCGUAAAGCGCGCGCAGGCGGCUUGGCGCGCCCGACGUGAAAGCCCCCGGCUUAACCGGGGAGAGUCGUCGGGGACGGCCGGGCUUGAGGGCGGGAGAGGGUGGUGGAAUUCCCGGUGUAGUGGUGAAAUGCGUAGAGAUCGGGAGGAACACCUGUGGCGAAGGCGGCUAUCUGGACGGUUUCUGACGCUAAGACGCGAAAGCGUGGGGAGCAAACAGG